rnacentral:rRNA from 1 species
GAUGAACGCUGGCGGCGUGCCUAAUACAUGCAAGUCGAGCGAACGGACGAGAAGCUUGCUUCUCUGAUGUUAGCGGCGGACGGGUGAGUAACACGUGGAUAACCUACCUAUAAGACUGGGAUAACUUCGGGAAACCGGAGCUAAUACCGGAUGAUAUUUUGAACCGCAUGGUUCAAAAGUGAAAGACGGUCUUGCUGUCACUUAUAGAUGGAUCCGCGCUGCAUUAGCUAGUUGGUAAGGUAACGGCUUACCAAGGCAACGAUGCAUAGCCGACCUGAGAGGGUGAUCGGUCACACUGGAACUGAGACACGGUCCAGACUCCUACGGGAGGCAGCAGUAGGGAAUCUUCCGCAAUGGGCGAAAGCCUGACGGAGCAACGCCGCGUGAGUGAUGAAGGUCUUCGGAUCGUAAAACUCUGUUAGUAGGGAAGAACAUAUGUGUAAGUAACUGUGCACAUCUUGACGGUACCUAAUCAGAAAGCCACGGCUAACUACGUG